rnacentral:lncRNA from 1 species
CCAGAGACAGCCGCUUCUUCUUGUGCAGUGCCAGCCUCGUCUCAUAGACAAGAUGGUGAAGGUCAGUGUGAAAGGAUUUGGCCAUAUUGGGCACCUGGUUACCAGGACUACCUUCUGCUCUGCAUCUGGCAAAAUGUAGAAUGUUGCCAUCAAUGACCCCUUCACUGACCUCAAAUACAUGGUCUACAUGUUCCAGUACGACUCUACCCAUGGCAAGUUCAACGGCACUGUCAAGGCUGAGAAUGGGAAUCUUGUCAUCAAUGGGAACCCAUUACCAUCUUCCAGGAGCGAGAUCCUGCUAACAUUAAAUGGGGUGA